AAAGUGGUCAAUGAAGGGACUGAGGAGAAGCCGACCCCUGUAUCCAACAUUGCGCUCUUCAUAGUAGCCAUCAUUUGGUUCAUGAUUUUCUGCUCCGUGUUUUCAGCUGUUGGCAUGAACACUGUCCCAAUGAAUUUCCCACCAAAUCCAGCCCUGCGUGUUCAGAUGGCCCCAGUUCCAGUGGCUCGAGUCUAGCCCUGCGCUCCAGGACACUGCAUCCACCAUCAUGCCCGAGUCUCGCCCAGAGCAUGGACAGACCUCUGCUUAAAUCGCACUCCAGACCUGCACAGACUGCCUGCGCCUCCCCAUGAAUGUGCCGUGUGAAUCAGGAGCGUGUGAAUACAUACAUCUACAUUCAAACAACUUAAUUACUACCUUGUGAAUAGUUACACAAUCAAUAAAAUGGUUAAUGUUCUUUAU